rnacentral:rRNA from 1 species
UACGUAGGGCGCAAGCGUUAUCCGGAUUUAUUGGGCGUAAAGAGCUCGUAGGCGGCUUGUCGCGUCGACUGUGAAAACCCGCGGCUUAACUGCGGGACUGCAGUCGAUACGGGCAGGCUAGAGUUCGGUAGGGGAGACUGGAAUUCCUGGUGUAGCGGUGAAAUGCGCAGAUAUCAGGAGGAACACCGGUGGCGAAGGCGGGUCUCUGGGCCGAUACUGACGCUGAGGAGCGAAAGCGUGGGGAGCGAACAGG